GUGCCAGCCGCCGCGGUAAUACGUAGGUGGCAAGCGUUGUCCGGAUUUAUUGGGCGUAAAGCGCGCGCAGGCGGCAGGUUAAGUCUGAUGUGAAAUCUCCCGGCUCAACUGGGAGGGGUCAUCGGAUACUGGCCAGCUUGAGGAAGGUAGAGGAGAGCAGAAUUCCCGGUGUAGUGGUGGAAUGCGUAGAUAUCGGGAGGAAUACCAGCGGCGAAGGCGGCUCUCUGGGCCUUUCCUGACGCUGAGGCGCGAAAGCGUGGGGAGCAAACCGGAUUAGAUACCCUUGUAGUCC
rnacentral:rRNA from 1 species